UAACAAGGUUUCCGUAGGUGAACCUGCGGAAGGAUCAUUAUCGAAUAAACUUGAACAGGCUGUUGCUGGCCCUUAGGGGUAUGUGCACGCUUGUCAUCUUUAUUUCUCCAACUGUGCACAUAUUGUAGACCUGGAGAUUUUUUUGUUGUUGAUAUUAGUUAUCGAGUUGGAACUGCGACUGCUACUGCUGUUGCUUUUCCUUGAAAUCCUUUCCAGGUCUAUGUACCUUUUUCACAAACCUAUGAAUCUGUUUAGAAUAACAAAGUUGAAUUUAAAUAUACAACUUUCAGCAACGGAUCUCUUGGCUCUCGCAUCGAUGAAGAACGCAGCGAAAUGCGAUAAGUAAUGUGAAUUGCAGAAUUCAGUGAAUCAUCGAAUCUUUGAACGCAUCUUGCGCUCCUUGGUAUUCCUUGGAGCAUGCCUGUUUGAGUGUCAUUCAAAUUCUCAAACCACGUUGUUUCGAUGUGGCUUGGAUGUGGGGGAUUUUGUGCAGGCCCUUUUUCAAGAGUCAGCUCCCCUGAAAUGCAUUAGCGGUAUCUGAGCAGAGAAACUACCACAGGUGUGAUAAAUUUAUCUAUGCCUUGGUGAGCUGCAUGAACAGAUUGUGCCGCUUAUAAAACCAUAUUGAUGAUGAAAUUUGACCUCAAAUCAGGUAGGACUACCCGCUGAACUUAAGCAUAUCAAUAAGCGGAGGAAAAGAAACUAACAAGGAUUCCCCUAGUAACUGCGAGUGAAGCGGGAAAAGCUCAAAUUUGAAAUCUGGCGGUCUUUUUUUUGACUGUCUGAGUUGUAGUCUGGAGAA
rnacentral:misc_RNA from 1 species